UGGAAGCAAAGCAGCACAAGACAGCC
rnacentral:piRNA from 1 species